rnacentral:RNase_P_RNA from 1 species
AGAAGCCAGACUUGAGACUGCAGGUGAAUGAUUCCCUCUACCCCAUGUCCCCUGGGAAGGUCUGAGACUAGGGCCAUAGAGUGGCCCUAACAGGGUCCUCCCUGAUUUCAGGGAGGUGAGUUCCCAGAGAACGGGGCUCCGCGUGAGGGCAGACUGGGCAGGAGAUGCCAUGGACCCAAACCCCUACAGGUGAAUGAUUCCACUGGGAUGAUGUCCUAGAAGGGAGAUCUGACCUAUGAUGGAUGAAGCAUGUCCAUGGUCGCCUGGUUGCAGGAGAUGAGGCCAGGUAGCUCUGUGACAUCGGGGUGAUGGGAAUAUUGAUCGUGAUGGCCCCCAGGGGUACACACCAAACACCACCAAUGCCAGGUUAGAAAUAGUCCUCCUGUAGUCAUCUGUUGUAAUCCAGGCAGAUUCU